UUAUCGCGCCCGCUGUGCAUUCGGUGCACGCA
rnacentral:sRNA from 1 species